CCAUAUUGGCGGAGGGAUUAGGGACGGCGGAGGCGGUGGACGGUCUGAGGCGGCGGCGGCGGCGGCGAAAAGGAAACGGCCCUAGGAAAAGCCGGGUUAUAAAAUGUGAGGAGAGGCGAGGGUCGUUCUGCGGCGGCGCGUGUGAGGAGCGAGGGCCACCAGCCCUCUGGCGCGUUUGGAACUUGGAGGAGAACAGAAGAUGUGGAAAAGAUUUGGGUCCCCUUGUUCCUUUUGGUGUCAGACAACAAUUUUUUCUGUGAUCCUGGGUUUGAUUGGCCAUUUCUCAACAAUGGCUUGGAUGGAGGAGAAUGUGCGGCUCAACUGACGAUCCAGCAGAAAUGGAAAUGCCACGAUUUUCUCAUGGCUAGAUUGGGUGGCAGUGGGAGAAAGAAAACACACAUCUUUGAAACUCUUCCUUCUGCAGACACUUUAUUCAAACAUGUUUAUUUCGCAUCAGUAUCUUCCUUUCAGAGCAUUGAGCUGUAACACCAGGGACAAAGGGGUUUAUCAAGGGUUUUAAACUCUUAACUAGGUUAGGAUGUUCUUUGGUGGGUGAAAGAACAUCUUGUUUUUAAGGCUUCUAAUUAAAUCAGGUUUUGGUACUCUGCAGCUGCAACUGAGUCAUAGGGAAAGUUGGUAAGUAUUUUGAAAGCAGUGGCGCUGUUUUAGUUUCUUUCCAUAAACCAGUACCUUUCAAACUUGCACUGAACAUCAGCCAGUGCAAGUUUUGGUGCAGGCAAGAUAGACGGUGUGGAGAGGCAUAUGAAGCUGCCUCAAACAGGAUCUGAUCUAUGCCCUGGUAUUGUCGGUUCUUCUUCCUAGUAGCUUUCCAAGGUUUCAAAUUAGGGGUCUUUCCAAGCUCUAAAACCUGAGAUCUUGAAAGGAAAGUGCCAGGGGUGGAAAGUUGAACUGUGUAAGUGGGAGGGAUGUGCUGUAUCACUGAACCAUUUUGUCCUGGGAGUUUAAGAAGGUGCUACCAGGCCUUCUUGCAACUCAAGGUCCAAAAUGCACUGCACAGAGGCUUUCUGGAACAUUCUCAUGGGGGGGCAAGGGCAAAAGGACAAAGCCAAAAUACCAGUAUGUUCUCACUUGAUGCUUUUGCUACUGGUAAGUAAUCCUUAGAAUAACAUUCAGCCUUUCAGUUGUCGGGGGAGGCAUUCACAAAAGACAAGACACGGCUAAAUAAUUGGUAGUUAAAAGGAAGUAGCUGUUGUGUGCCUUAGACCAGUUCUAGUCCUCUUGGGCUGUAUAAUGUCUUGUUUCAACUUGCGCAUUUCUCUGGAGCUGAAGUAUUGGUAAAGUGGCUGUGAUCUGCUAGUGUAGUUGCACAACACUUCACUCCUGUAUGGAUGUGACAAACAGCUAAAAGCUUCUGUGCUUUAUAUCUGCAAGAUAAAGUGGGAUGCAGCAGCCAUCAGGUAAAAAAGACAUCCCCAAGCUUGAUUUAAUUUAGGUCUCGCUAUGCGAGUUCAUCAGCAAAUGUUGAGGCAUAGGCCUGCCUCACAGCUGGAAAAAGGAGAGCCUUUACCACACUCCACAUCUUCACCUGAGUCUCGAUGGUGCUUGCUUGCAAUUGCUCAGAUAAAUUUGUACAAGGACUGCAGCCUUUUCUGAGCUUUCAUGGGGCUGCUGUGAGUUGGCAAUCCUUAAGAGUACAAGCCCAACGUGAAAGUCUCCGCACCUCAUGCCUAAGGAAGUGGACGUGGCCAAUUUUCCUUGCUCACACACCAUUCCUUUGAUGCUAAACAAUGUCAACGGCUUGUCUUCAAAUGUACUGGGGGGAGGAAUUGGAGAAGUGCUGCAUCUAAUUUGGCAUGUACUUCCCUCCCCCAACCCCGGUUUCGUUUUCAGGAAAGGUAUGUUUUGGCAGCUACGCUGCUGAUGACGCUUCUUCAGGCUUGAGUAACUUGGCGCUGUUCUUUGUACAGCAGUGCUAGUGAGAAAACGGGUUCAUUAAAGGGUGAAGAGAUGGGAUUUGCCCAUGGGACUAAUGCGCUCCAAAUGGGGUGAAGGGCUGGGUGGUCAUGCGGAACAGAUGAACAACUCCUGUCAACAUUUCCUUAACCCUGCCAUCCCCAGUCUUGUGUCCGCCUGAUGUUUCAGCCGAUAAAACUCAGGAUUUCUGGCAAUUGAAUAUAUUGGCUGGGUCUGAUGGCAAAUGAAGUCCAAAAUACCUAAAUGGCACCAAUCUGGGAACAAACAGCUGCUGCCUAAAUGACAGUGUUUCUGAAAAGCUGAGUGGCUUUGGGUUGCCGUCUGAACUCAGGCUCAUGCAUCCAGUGCGGAGCGCACAUCCACGAGCAUUUUCUGCCUGAGGCACUUAUAGUGGGGGACAAGGAGGCUGCAGAGGGCAUGAGAUAGUUUGCAUGCUGGCUGCUGCUGCGGCUGCUGCUGCGGCUGCUGCUGCGGUCCCUCUUUGACUGCAGCUCCAAAGUUGAUUCCCAGCGUUGGAGCAGCAACCAAUUGCAAGUGAAAGGAGGGGGGAUUUCCAGCUGUAUUUUAAGAGCUCUAUUUCCAGCCGAAAGUCUGGGAAGGGAAGACUCUGGUGUCUGUAGGCUAGGGGAUUGCUCUCUAGCCUUGCUUCCUGGCCAGUUCUUCACAGUUCUGGGUGCCUUGUCCACAUCAGUCCCUUACAGAAACACCCCCAUGGAUAGCAUCCUAUCUUACAAGCAGAUACAAUUGUGACCUAUGUGCAAGUUUGGAAUUGGAUCGAGCUGUAUCUUUAAUGUUGGGGAGGGCAUCCUUUCAGCUUUUUUUGGGGGGGGGUCUCCUUGGUUUUUAGUCAGAGCCCCAAGAUCCACCAAAACAUUCUCAAAUUGAGUCAUGCUGAAGUUACAAGUCUGCCAUACACUUUGCCAUUGUUAAUGUCCUUGGAGGUGGCAUUACUGUGGUCUUGCAUGAAAUUGCAGAAUAAAUUGGUAGAUCCAGAAUGACCUUCCCAGGUAAGCUGCAAGAAGUUUAUAAAGGCCCCUUGCUUCUUUCAGCCGCUGCCACCAUUUUCCUUCCCCUAGGCCAAGCAUGUUAGGCUUGAGAUAUCUCAGCAGAUGCCUCUGGGUGACUGGAGCGGUGCUAGCAAAGGGAUAAAUGCCAAGCCAAGUAGCUGAAUGGUAAGAAACACGAAACCCCAGGAGAAGAUGGCUGGGCGAACAGUUCUGUGCAUAUAUGGCGUGGAUUUGGAAGACCUACCUGCUUGAGCUAGGGCUGACUCUUUGCUGGUGCGUUUCAUCCCAAGUGGCCUCUUUUCCCUUCCAUCACCCUUUGAGAUUCCUAAUUGCAAGCCCUCUGCUUUGAGAGACCCAUAAUUUGCAGUAGGAAAACAUGCGGGAUGACUCUUCCUACUCCAGCACUCCUGAUGGGGCCUCCCAGUGGCCUUUUGUACAAAAGCGGCAUCAGUGAUUCGUGCAUGUGUGAAUGUAUUUAGCGGUCAGCUGUGAUGAUGUCUCCAGAGGGUCAUGUAGAGAGAGGAUCUGAACCCUCCAAGCAACUGUAGUGGCAAGCUCCCUUUGCUGGCCAGCAGCAUGACACCAAUUGGAUUGGGUGCCUCAUUUCUAGCAGCAAAACCUUGUCCACCUGGUAAUAGCAGUGAAUACCAGCAAAGCCUCCAAUAAAUAUUUGCUGUUACCCGCUCCUUGCUGAGAUUUCAGAGACCCAACGUGGACUUCCACAAAAUGCAGUCAGUCUUCAGGUGGUGGUGCCCCUCAGAUAUGCCUUCCAGGCAUCUGUGAGGCAAUAUUGAUGGGAAGUAUGCAGUGGCAGGGUGGUGGCUUGGCCAGGUAGACUUUGGGCAGCUGCUUCGGCAGGAUUUCAGCAGGUAAGCUCCUUGGAAACAGAACUGGUGGGGAAGACUUGCCUGGCAGUUCUUUUGGUAGCUCGGGGUUAAGCCUCUUGGGUUAAGAAUCAAUUUGGGGAGUGUUGCAAUUUUUUUAAUAUCAGUUGAAAAGAGCAGGCAAAGCAAGAAUCCCAAGUAUUACCUUGUUAACUUCAAAGACAGGAUGCAGUCACUUCCCUGUGCAAUCAGAAUGGCGCAUUGUUAAUUUAUUUUAAGUGGUUUGUAAUUGUGUCAGUCCUUCCUAAGUUUGAAAUCCGGCUCAGUGUAACUUGGGCUUUUUUUUUCCUUUGCAGGAAGCUGCUGGCACUGCGCGAAUGCCAAUCUUGUGUCUUUAUAGCCUCAAAGAUCCCACUGGCAUUUUCAUGUGGAAGACGCAUCUUCCUGUAAUGCUGGUGACACAGCAGGACCGGGAAGUCAAGAUAACCUACAUAAGCUGACUGCUUUUCAGAGCUGCCUGUAAUGCAGACCCAAGGUUGUCACUUGGAAAGUUCAUCAAUUACGCUGUAGACCAUAAGCCGCUUAGCAGAAAUCUUGCUCUUGUGCUUUUAAAUAGCACGAGGACUUACGCUAUAUUAAGGGUCAGCCUGUGCUCCAUCCAGUAGGGGGAGGAAGAAACCCGGGUAAGCACGGAAGUGAAGUGGGGAGGGGGAACAGGAGGAGGACGACACUGACGUCUUCCAAGUGGUUGCAAAUUGACACCAGGGGCCAGAUGACAAACGGGGUAGCCAAUGCAGUCGCUCCUGGAGCAGAGCAGGCAAGCUCCAGGCGUAGGUCAUGAAUUGUCCAAUGCUGACUGGCCACGGUUGCUCCCUUCGUGUAGCCUCACGCAAGCAUUUGCCAGGGGAGAGGCGCAGCUGACGCACAACAGAACGCUACUGACCCGCCUUACGAGGUCCUUAUCUGCAAAGAAGUGUUUUUGAAGACACGCAGAUGCUGGAUGCGCUCUGGACACCCACACUGUGUGCGCAUGCUCAGCGGGGCGGUUUCCGGGGAAGGUUUUUCUCCCAGGGCAGCCGCUUGUGGCGUGCGUUGCUCACCUUCAAACGCUGCCGAGCAGCAUGUGCCUAUUUGGAAUGCUGGCUGAAACCGACCCAGUGCGGCUCCCCAUUGUGCAGAUGUGCCGGGUGACCUAUGUGUGUGACUCUGCUGUUGCAGUGCCAACCGCUUACGGGCAAUCUGAAGGCCCUGCCCCUUUCUCGGUUCUUUUCCUAGACUUUGGACAACCCUCCAGAUAAACAGUGACUUCUAACUAGAGGGCAGUCCUCUGACUACACUACCAAUUAAAGACUGUUUGCAAAAGGGGACAUAUACAGGCAUGUAAGAGUCAUAAGGGCAAGAAUAUCCCGUAAUGUCUGGAAACAUUCUGGGCUAAUUCUCAUGUGCCCAGACACCCCCCACCAGCCAUUCCUGCAACAGGUAGCAAUGGUGUAACUGGACAACCAUCUGGGAGGGCUGGUUUAGCAUGGAGUCUUGCACUGCGCAGGGGGCUGAGCCUUAUCGCCCUCCGGCCCCUUCCAACUAUUGCCCCUAGGGGUGGCCGUGAAGCACAGUAUUAAGUGGCAUGUUCCCAAUCACUGGAAAGUUUUGCCUUCAAUACCCCAGUACCCUUUAAGCUUGGGAACAGGACAACAUUACUCACAGCAGAGUGUGGUGGUUGGGCUAUGAGGUCAUCACUUUCCAAAAAGCAUUUAACACAUUCAAACUUAAAGACAGGAGCAGAUUUUCCCUUUCUUGUCUUUGCCACAUACCAACUCAAUAUACCUGUAUCACCUGACUAUAGUAGUAGCAGGCAAUCUGCAGCAUCAGAUCUCUUCAGCCCAGGCCAACCUAUUCAAUGCUGGAAACCUAUAGGGCCCCAAUUUAUAAUCCAUCCCUGCCAUAUAGACUGUAGGAGCAGGUUUGCCACCUGCACUGGUGCAAUUCCACAGGAGAAAAAGUUUCUCCCUAUGGCAGCUUUUCCCAACUUUGUGCCUUCUCAGUGAGCUGGAUAGCAACUGCAGUCACCUCUAGCCCAAAUGGCCACUGGUGUCUCAGCUCAGCAAUAUUCCCUCCACUGUGACUGGAGCCUUCUCUAACCAACAGCAAUUGGUGGCACCAGUCGCCUCACUACUCCUGAGAGUUGGAAGGGCGUGCAGAUGGUCAGCUUGUCCCUUGGGCCAGAACAGACACCAAUGUGUGCAUGCACUUCCAAGUCUUUGCAUGAGGAUUGCCCCACUCCAUCAGGCCAACUAGGGUCCACCCAGUUGGCCAACCAGAGGCCUCUUGGAUACCCACCACCACCACCAGCAGCAGCAGUCUUGCUUUCCUCAGCCAUACUCUUUGGAUAUUGGUGGUGAUGUGCAGCCAUUCUGGAUUGCUGUCUCUGGGGGACAUACCUGCCCAAACUGGAUGGUCCCUUCCUGGUCAUGUGCUUUGGGAUCAUUCUAUGCCAGGCACUGUUGCAGUUGUCUUGAUGGGUUUCUGCAAAACCAAACCGAUCAGUUACCAAAUCUUUAUUCCAGCAAGGUGUUUUUGCUGACUUGCAUAAUCAAGAGAGUGUGCAGUCUCUUGAUUGCAAUUUGAUCUGAGCCAUGUUUGUUCAAAAGUAAGUUCCAUUGUGACAAUGAGUGUUUGCUUCUACAUAAAGGGUUGCUUAGAAUAGUGGUCCUAGGAUACAAACACACAUACAGGACUGUCUUGCGCAGAGCCGGCCCAGGUUUGUCUAGCACAGCCUUCCCCAACCUUGUACCUUCCAGACAUGUUUGGACUACAAUACCCAGAAUUCCCAGUGAAUGGCCCUGCUAGAUGGGAAUUCUGGGAGUAGUGAUCUAAAUGUCCCUGAUGGCCACCAGGUUAGGGAAAGCUGGUGUAGCACAAGAGUUUUCAAUCGCCCAGGAAGAGGGCUCCAACUACUAAACUUUUUAGAGCAGAGAUGCCAAGGGGUAAGUAUUGCUGGCCAUCUAUGAGCCCAUGAAGUAGAAUACUGGCUUCUGUUUACUCACGAUGUUCGUACAGAAAAUUUCCUGGAAUCUAGACAUGUAUUUCAUGCAGCCACCUUUCAGUAUUUCGUUACAAUACUGCAGUGAAGAGAAUGCAGUGUGAUUCUGAAAGCAAAGACUUCUCACAUUUUCUUUAUUUAAAAAGCAUGCUGCUGGACUUUGAUUCCAGAUAUAUGCCCGAAAGUGCACAAUGCCUAGUGAAAUUUGCUGCCAUGUUUAUGGAUGAGGCUUCAGAAACCCCUCUGCCCCACUGACAGAAGCAGGAUGCAUACUGCAAAAUAGAAUAUUCUUGUAUAGAUCAUUAGGACAACAUGGUUGCAGAAUUUAGUUUUUCAUGUUCCAGGAUUUGAGAUAUGUGGCACAUUAUGACGUACAUUUCUCUUUCAUCAUCUGCUUAUUCUAUUUCUUUUGGAGCUUCUCUCCCUGCAGGUACCUCCCAAAAUGGUUUAGAAACAGGAUAAGAACUGGAAUUUUCCAUCUCUUCUUUCAUCCAAUGAACUGCAGAGGGGCACGCAAUUCAUCCUUGUCCCUUGCCAUUUUUUUCACCAUUACAACAACCCUCUGAUGAAGGAAAUGUUGCAGACUUGCUUAAACUGGAACUGGGCAUGGGAGCUUUUCUGAGGAUGAUCCAUUGUAGGGAUCCUGUGGGUAACUUGAUGCUCCCAUGGAGUUUGCUCACUGUGUCGCAGAGGAUUUCGCAGCAUACAUUCUAUUCCUCCAGGUUGGUGCAACAUGACAAGCCCCAGUGGUUUCUCGUGCAGGAUGGCCUGCCAUGUCUUCGGAAACCCGUCAUGGUUCUUCAGUGUGCUGAAUACGCUUUUCAGACAGAAGCCACAAUAAGGAACCACAGUCUGUCCGUGGUUCCCAUGCUUCACCGUGGCUUCCUGGAUCAUCCAGACCUGGCGUCCCGGUUUCCAUAGCCCCGCUGAACCUCCUGGAAAGAGCACCUGCUCCUCCAAACAUCCAGCACAGGACUGAACCUCAGGCUUGGCUGCUGAUGGGGCACAUGCCAACCGUGAGAUGACCCGGCAAGGAGAUGGAAACCACACUAGUGCAGAGACCAGUUUUUCAUCCAGGCAAAACCAUGCAGGGUCGCUCCUUGUGAUGGGUGAAUCCAACCAUUUUCCCCCCCUGGCUGCAUCAUGCAACAUGACAAGCAACCCUGCAUAGUUACCACAGUUCGCUUUUUUUUUUUUUUUUUUUUUUGCCAAGCUCUAACCAGCAGAUGAUCAUGUGGUUUCCAUCCUCCCUGCUUGGUCCUCUCACUGGUGGCAUGUGUCCCAUCAGCCACUGGGCCUGAAAUCAAAUCCCAGGGUAUGUUGCCUGCUUCUUCCUCAUUGGUCUGUCCAUACAGGCUGGAUCGCUGCAGUGGUUCCAAACUCUUUCCAGGAGAGUCUAUGGUAGUUGCAAACCAGGACAUUGAUCCAGGGUUCAAGCAACAGAGAAACCAUAGGAGGAAAAAACUUUGUUUCUUAUACUUUCUAAAGACAAAACUUAUCAUGGUGAAAUGCCAUGACUGCUUUUAGACAACAAAACGGGCCAACAGUGGUAAAAAUCCACCAUGGCUUGUCAUGUUGUCUGAACCCAGCCUCACCCCACCCCCGACAGGAUGAUUGUGAGAAAAACAUGGGUGAAGAGAACGUGUAUGAUGCCUAGAAGUUCUUGAAUGUAAUCAAGAAAGUUACAUAUAUGUACAUAUCAAACACAGAAGACCCAAAGCCAGUCACGCUGCCAGGAACCAGUAACAACACAGUCCAUUCUAGCUUUGCUGUAGCAGUGGAGAGGAAACCAUUGUCUUGAUUCAGGCCUACAGGAAGAGAAUUAAAUGCUGUGCUAAGUUCUAGUUCAGCAAUGUCUCACUAGGUUUAUGUCCAAUGCUCCUCCGUUGGAGAAAGACAACUCUCAGAUGAGCAGUACAGUCUCCCAGGAGACUGAAAUGUUCAUAUCUGCCAACUGAGAAUAACAUUCGUUGCAUCUGACAACUAUGUUCAGUUUUCACAAUUUCCUCAUUUCACAAUCAAGCCACCCUUUGAAAGUAAGGGAGGUGAAAUGUCAUACCUAUUAGAUUAAUGGGGGGGGGGGGCAUUUUCUAUAUCACACAAGAUAGACAUGUUUUCCCACAAUUCUAUGCUUGAUAGACUCCACUGUGCAGUCCAUGUACUUGAAAGUACAUACUUGUUCCGUUCACACAGGUGUACACUUAAACAUCUUCCAGGCACACUUGAAAAAUGCAGUGUAUGACAUGACAAUGUAUGGUACUUAAGGGAAGGGUCUGUAGACAUUGGUAAACGUUCACCUACUGAAGCCAUCACGGCCUGCUCUGGCUGCCUUGGGGUGGUUGUGAAACACUUCCGAACAGCACCAGCUUGGCAAGGCAGCUUCAGCCUAGGCAAUGAUAGCCAGAAGGGGUGGAAGGAAACCACUUGAUGCUUGGAUUGUGACUUGCCAACAGAGCAUCUUUCUUAAAGCUGAUUGCUUGCUAAUAGUUCGAGAUCUUUCUUUGACAUUUCAUCAAAGAAAAUGGCUUCCUGGUGGCUGGGAGUCUCUCCUCAGCCCUUGGGCAUAUUUUGUCCAUCAAAGCUCAGAGAAGGCAACACUCUUCCAUCUGUGGGGACAUGUCAGGGAAACAGUUCAAAGCAGUUCAUGAUUUGUACUUGAAUAGGGAGAAAAAAAAUAAAAGGAUGGCUACUUAUGGAAGGAAGCAUGACUCUUGACCGAUGACCGAGUAAACAGGGCCUCCAUGGACAGCCUCAGGAAGGCGACGGACUAUUUAAAUCCUCCUUCCACAGACCUUCUUCACCAUCACCAGUAUAAUGAGCACCAGCCAGUCCCAAAUAAUUUCAGGACUUGUUCUCCCAGGCACGUCCUGCGAGCAACACCUCUGUAGCAAAUCCCUUAAGGUGUCACAUUGAGUAGCUGGAGUUGCCUUCAUCACACUGGCUAAGGCUGUGCAGUUCUGAACAUGAGGACGGCAGAAUGUUGCCCGAUUCUUCAUCUCACAUCUCCUAGCCAAACCAUGUGUCUUGUGCUCUUCAGGAGCGGAUCAGAGAAAGAACGGCAGGGUCUACGGAGAGGUAACAAGAGAGUUAGACGGCUAUGUGAGCUCAGCAGUGAGAGCAAGGCCACCAGACCAAUGGUCCGAGUCAAGCACAAGAGCCUGCUUUUUGCUUGCACGAGUGUAUCCAAGGAGCCUCACUAAACUGAAGCCAAAUCAAAAGAAUCCGAGGGGAUUAAAAUAUGAUUCGAGUACAGCAGUUGUGUUUGUAAGGUGUGAGCAUGUGGUGGUGGAGAUGCUCAUUAUUUGCAUACUGUUGCUAGGCAGUGGUUAUGCAUAUGUGCAUUCUCUAGAUUGUAGAGAAAUGAGACAAACAAGCGUGUUGUGUCAAUAAAAACCUGCAAAAGGUC